rnacentral:rRNA from 1 species
AACGUAGGAGGCGAGCGUUAUCCGGAAUCACUGGGCGUAAAGGGCGUCUAGGCGGAGUGGUAAGCGAGGUGUGAAAGCUCCCGGCUCAACUGGGAGAGUGCGCUUCGGACUGCCAGUCUUGAGGGAAGCAGAAGGGGGUGGAAUUCCCGGUGGAGUGGUGAAAUGCGUAGAUAUCGGGAGGAACACCAGUGGCGAAAGCGGCCCCCUAGGCUUAACCUGACGCUGAAGCGCGAAAGCGUGGGGAGCAAACGGG